rnacentral:misc_RNA from 1 species
UGUCUCCUGUGGCUGCAUUGUCGGCUGUCGGAAAAGAGGCGUUUACUGGAAUACGUCAACAAUUGAUGUCAUACCAAAAAAGCAGUGUAAACUGUAAAGCACCGUGAAGCGUGGAUUGUGGUCGGGGAGAAGAACAAUUCUCCACAGUUAGUUUAGUAGCUGGAAUGAUGGGGGUACCAGUGGUGAAGCCAGAAGAGAUUUUCUUCUCUGACCGCAGGUGCAAGGAUUACGUGUUUGAAACUUAGAUAAGUUUGCAGUAGAAUAUUUUCAAAAAAAGCCGACUCUCCUUCAUCAAACGGUUCGAAAUGUAAGAUUUAUUCAUUCACCGAAGAAACGAGUCAAAUGACUCGAAUGUCAAAUGUGGUAUUUUUAAAACCCAUCCCCAGCAACAUCAACCUACAGAAAGAAAAAGGCUAGUUUCUAUGGCCUUGAAGUUCGCGGUGAUCAUUACGCAAAACGUGUCAUGCAGUGGUGUAGAGGUUGGGUGAGAACGACACGUGUUGCAUUAUCAAAAAGGUCCAACAGCCGCAAGGCUUAGGAGGUGAGGGUGAGAAAAAAAUCGUAUAAAAGGAGAGAGAAAAGGCGAUUGAAACCAGUCGAGUGAGCAUCUCCGACACGGCAACAAGGUCGCAUUCGCAAUCACGUUUAACUAUGGCGUCGUGCAGCUAUUGGUUGUUUCGUCGAUUUCUGGGUCGACCACUGGUGUGCUGAUGCCCCUGGGUAUGGCGGAUACCAAACCGCAACGCCUUCGCCUUACUACACUACAGCAAACGCAACGACCAGUUACUACACUGAGGUUGCACAGUUAGGUUUACAGUUACACCACCAAGGGUCCAGGUACACCACAACUUGUGCUGCUCCGAGCUACUACACCGAAGACCAGAAGUUUUAUUAUUCCCCGGGCUACACUACCAAAUCGCAUGUGCACACCCCCAAGGCUCGGAAGUACUAAACCCCCAAGGCACCUGAGACUACACUGUAACUACGUAUGCUGUCCCAAGUAGUACACCAAGGCUCCAAAGUACUGCAGCACUAAGGCACUGGACUAUUACACGACUAUACAUGCUGCUCAACCUACGACACCGAGGCUCCAGCUUAUUACACCACCAAAGGGGUCGAACACAGUAGCGCCCAAGUACGUAGCAUCUCCGACACCGAACACGGCAGCCCCGAAGUUUCGAAUAAUCUUCGUUUCAAACAGUGGAACGACAAAGAGUGAGGCAAAGAUACCGGCGGCGUAGCAUUCGUACGUGUACACCGCUUUAAACUUGACAUUGUUGGUCGGAAAGCCGAACUUGACGAUGGCCGUACCAUCACCUACGACAAGUGCGUUAUUGCCACAGGUGGUAUGUCUUUUCCGAUCCCUGAGCGGUGCCCUCAAAGAUGCCCACGAGCACGUAACGCUGUUCCGCAACAUCGAUGGCGGUAACAUAGGCCGAGUCCUCCCUAAAUAUUUGAGCCAAUGGACUUCCGAGAAGGUGAAAGCGCAAGGUGUCAAUGUGUUGCCCAAAGCCAAUGUUGAGGGUGCAAUUUUGGAAGACUACAAGCCGGAGAUGCUGCCUUCUUUUGUGAUAUCAAAUUGGGUCGUCGUCCGAUGGAACAUCACCACUUUGCUGUUGUAUCAGGGCGAUUGGCUGGAGAGAACAAUACUGGCAACGAAACAUGGAUGAACAACUGCAGUGCACUGUCACCAAGUGCAUUCUUCGUCGUAUUAUCAGUACGCAAUCGGUGUCGUGCUGUUGCCGUUUGUCGUAUCGUUGAAGGUUGGGUCGAUCACUGGUGUAUCCAUGUCUCCUGGGUAUGGCGGAUACCAAAGCACCACGCCGUCGCCUUGCUACACAACGACAACAUUCGCAUCAACCGGUUACUACACCACCAAGGCUCCAGAGUAUUACACCGCAGCUAAUGCUGCCACGAGCUAUCCAGCUCGGCACCCGUUUUGGUG